AAGUCGUAACAAGGUUUCCGUAGGUGAACCUGCGGAAGGAUCAUUAUUACGUAUCCACGUAUCAAACCAAAUCGUGAACUGUUUCCCAUUUGAUGAGGAUUUCUGCGAGUUUGUCUAAAACUUUAAUAAAAUGCAUGGUGAGUGGGUAGUUUCGGCUACUUACACUAGACACUCGGUUCCUGGAAGUCUUUUAACAAAAGUUUUCCAGCUCAUUGGAUGCGGUUUAUCUCACUGUGCUAAAAACAUUAACCCCUUGUAAACAAAUUGAACUAACUUACGGAGUACAGUUUUUAUUUUCUUAACUGAAACAAAAAAAACAGUCUCUGGAUAACUGAAACUUAAGAACAACUCUUAACAACGGAUAUCUUGGUUCUC
rnacentral:misc_RNA from 1 species